rnacentral:rRNA from 1 species
ACAUGCAGUCGAGCGGACAGAUGGGAGCUUGCUCCCUGAUGUUAGCGGCGGACGGGUGAGUAACACGUGGGUAACCUGCCUGUAAGACUGGGAUAACUCCGGGAAACCGGGGCUAAUACCGGAUGGUUGUCUGAACCGCAUGGUUCAGACAUAAAAGGUGGCUUCGGCUACCACUUACAGAUGGACCCGCGGCGCAUUAGCUAGUUGGUGAGGUAACGGCUCACCAAGGCGACGAUGCGUAGCCGACCUGAGAGGGUGAUCGGCCACACUGGGACUGAGACACGGCCCAGACUCCUACGGGAGGCAGCAGUAGGGAAUCUUCCGCAAUGGACGAAAGUCUGACGGAGCAACGCCGCGUGAGUGAUGAAGGUUUUCGGAUCGUAAAGCUCUGUUGUUAGGGAAGAACAAGUGCCGUUCAAAUAGGGCGGCACCUUGACGGUACCUAACCAGAAAGCCACGGCUAACUACGUGCCAGCAGCCGCGGUAAUACGUAGGUGGCAAGCGUUGUCCGGAAUUAUUGGGCGUAAAGGGCUCGCAGGCGGUUUCUUAAGUCUGAUGUGAAAGCCCCCGGCUCAACCGGGGAGGGUCAUUGGAAACUGGGGAACUUGAGUGCAGAAGAGGAGAGUGGAAUUCCACGUGUAGCGGUGAAAUGCGUAGAGAUGUGGAGGAACACCAGUGGCGAAGGCGACUCUCUGGUCUGUAACUGACGCUGAGGAGCGAAAGCGUGGGGAGCGAACAGGAUUAGAUACCCUGGUAGUCCACGCCGUAAACGAUGAGUGCUAAGUGUUAGGGGGUUUCCGCCCCUUAGUGCUGCAGCUAACGCAUUAAGCACUCCGCCUGGGGAGUACGGUCGCAAGACUGAAACUCAAAGGAAUUGACGGGGGCCCGCACAAGCGGUGGAGCAUGUGGUUUAAUUCGAAGCAACGCGAAGAACCUUACCAGGUCUUGACAUCCUCUGACAAUCCUAGAGAUAGGACGUCCCC